AAGUCGUAACAAGGUUUCCGUAGGUGAACCUGCGGAAGGAUCAUUAACAAUUGCCUCUUUAUUGAGACAUAUUUAUUGUGCACCAGAUCAGAUAUAAUUUCAUCAUUUCGUAUGAUGACUUUAUAACACCCACUUUUAAACCUUUGCCUGAACUAUAUUUUUUAUAAUAAAAAACAAUCAUAAUGAUAAAUAUAACUUUUAACAACGGAUCUCUUGGCUCUCCCAUCGA
rnacentral:misc_RNA from 1 species